GGGCAGUAAAGGAGGGGAUUUGAUGAAGGAUGUCCAUCUAGGGAUGGAGAAAAAGGUAUAAAAAGUCAAGGUUUUAGAAAAGUGCAGAUCUCCUGAAAGAUUGCUGGGGCUCUGAACGAGAACAGGAGCUGGACAAGGUUUUUCAAUUUCAGAACGAGACAUCAACUGAGCAGAACAACUUUGCUGAUGCCAUGGACUGAGACGAACCAGAGCCUGAUGAGAUGGGACGACCAAGGGUGCUUGAGCUCAUCCUGUUCGCACUCAGUCCCCUAAGCGAGUUGCUGUUAUCGAUUUCUGAGAUUUUUUGACUCUUUGUAUUUUUACUUCCAGCCUUAUUCUUCAGAGUCCAAGGAGGUCGUGAGUAAAAGAGCAGUAGCGUAGAGAUAGGUCGUCCAAAUCUGAGGCCAUGGUUCGCAUGGUGCCGGAAAGAGGUGGACUGCCCCCUCGGUACUUCCUCAAGCGAGGGAUUUCAAGUAUCUCUGGGACUUGUUCAUCAGUGAGGAUAGAAUGGAGCGUGAGAUGGAAAGAUGAUUUGGUGUGGCUUCUGCAGUGAUGCGGGCGCUGUGCUGGUCCAUCAUGGUGAAGAGGUAGUUCUGAUUAGUCCAUGCACCCAUGGGAGCAGGGUGCUAUCUGAAUUCCCCAACGCUGAUCGACAGUGCUACCUCUGGUUUCCUGGAUUUGGUCGGAGCAGUCUUCCUCUGUGGUCCGGCGCCAUCAGAGCCUG